rnacentral:rRNA from 1 species
AGCGAACGCUAGCGGCGGGCCUAACACAUGCAAGUCGAGCGGAGGGGCAACCCUCAGCGGCGAACGGGUGAGUAACACGUAGGUAAUGUACCCUCUGGUGGGGAAUAACCGUGGGAAACCAUGGCUAAUACCGCAUAUGUCUUUCGAGAUGAAAGCAGCAAUGCGCCAGAGGAGCAGCCUGCGGCCGAUUAUUUAGUCCUAGUUGGUGAGGUAAUGGCUCACCAAGGGUACGAUCGGUAGCUGGUCUGAGAGGAUGAUCAGCCACACUGGAACUGAGACACGGUCCAGACUCCUACGGGAGGCAGCAGUGGGGAAUAUUGCGCAAUGGGCGAAAGCCUGACGCAGCCACGCCGCGUGAGCGAUGAAGGCCUUCGGUCGUAAGACUCUGUGGGAGGAGAAGAAUAAAGACCUGUGAGAGCAGGCCUGACGGUAUCUCCUUAGCAAGCACCGGCUAACUACCGUGCCAGCA